UUGGAAUUGUGCAAAUCUUCUUGGUUACAGCAAAACCAAUUCAACACUUUUUCAAUUUUUACACGUUUCUUCAUUCCAAUACACACAUUUUUCAUCUCUUUCCCUCUCCCUCUCUCUCUCUCUCAGACAAAACUUAACCCUUCUUUCUUUCUUUCUUUCUUUCUUUCUUCCAUUUUCACUCCUCUCUCUUUUUCCUUCAAACCCUUGAACCACCGCCUGUUUACGGCCACCACACAUCCGCCAACACUGUCACUCCGCUGCGCGGGACCAAACAACAACCACCACUUUCAGAUUAUACGCGAUUAUUUCUCUUUUCCUUUCACUCUAUUGAUUUCAGGGUUUGUGCUUCUAAUCCUCAUUGUUUUGAUUUUCGAUUUUAGGUUUUGCCAUCAAAAAACAUGUCUUAUUGCUUAUUUCUGACCACUGUGAAUCGUAUCCCUUGCAAGCUUAUUAUAAGAGUAUUUGAAAGAAGAAAACACUCAGAUCCUGCAACAACAAACAAAUUACAUGAGUUUCAAUUUUUCAAUCUCUUCUUAUUGUUGAUUUAAGGAUUGCAAUCAUGGUGUUUGGAACAAACUUCAUAGGUAAAGCAAACUGGAAGC